UACGUAGGGUGCAAGCGUUGUCCGGAAUUAUUGGGCGUAAAGAGCUCGUAGGCGGUCUGUCGCGUCGGCUGUGAAAUCCCGAGGCUCAACCUCGGGUCUGCAGUCGAUACGGGCAAACUAGAGUAUUGCAGGGGAGACUGGAAUUCCUGGUGUAGCGGUGAAAUGCGCAGACAUCAGGAGGAACACCGGUGGCGAAGGCGGGUCUCUGGGCAAUAACUGACGCUGAGGAGCGAAAGCGUGGGGAGCGAACAGG
rnacentral:rRNA from 1 species